GAUGAACGCUGGCGGCGUGCCUAAUACAUGCAAGUCGAGCGAACGGACGAGAAGCUUGCUUCUCUGAUGUUAGCGGCGGACGGGUGAGUAACACGUGGAUAACCUACCUAUAAGACUGGGAUAACUUCGGGAAACCGGAGCUAAUACCGGAUAAUAUUUUGAACCGCAUGGUUCAAAAGUGAAAGACGGUCUUGCUGUCACUUAUAGAUGGAUCCGCGCUGCAUUGGCUAGUUGGUAAGGUAACGGCUUACCAAGGCAACGAUGCAUAGCCGACCUGAGAGGGUGAUCGGCCACACUGGAACUGGGCCACGGUCCAGACUCCUACGGGAGGCACCAGUAGGGAACCUUCCGCAAUGGGCGAAAGCCUGACGGAGCAACGCCGCGUGAGUGAUGAAGGUCUUCGGAUCGUAAAACCCUUUUAUUAGGGAAGAACAUAUGUGUAAGUAAAUGUGCACAUAUUGACGGUACCUAAUCAGAAAGCCACGGCUAACUACGUG
rnacentral:rRNA from 1 species